ensembl:lncRNA
GUAAAUGUGAUUUACUAGGUUGGAAACAGUUACAAAGUUCAGGCACAGAGGAUGGACAGUAUAACACAGUUACAAAGCUCAGGCACAGAGGAUGGACAGUAUAACACAGUUAAAGUUAAGGCACAGAGGAUGGACAGUAUAACACAGCUACAAAGCUCAGGCACAGGAUGGACAGUAUAACACAGUUACAAAGUUCAGGCACAGAGGAUGGACAGUAUAACACAGCUACAAAGCUCAGGCACAGGAUGGACAGUAUAACACAGUUACAAAGUUCAGGCACAGAGGAUGGACAGUAUAUCAGGUAUCAAAUUAAAACUCCUCAUUCAAGGCAGGUAGCGAGGCUAGACAGUUCCACGCUCACAGUUCAACGAUAAAAACAAACUGCGAUGUUGGCUGAUGGAAUCAUUAAAAAUGGCAGUCAUGGUGAUGUGGCUAAUCAGUAACCUGAAACAAGCUGAAGCACCAGAUGUGGCAUAUGGAAAUUAGUGUUUGUCUUAGUUAAAUACGUUCCCAUUUGCUAUAGUGUUAUCUGUGACUGAAUGUAGGCUAGUGUAAAACCAUGCUAUAGUGUUAUCUGUGACUGAAUGUAGGCUAGUGUAAAACCAUGCUAUAGUGUUAUCUGUGACAAUGUAGGCUAGUGGAAAACCAUGCUAUAGUGUUAUCUGUGACUGAAUGUAGGCUAGUGGAAAACCAUGCUAUAGUGUUAUCUGUGACUGAAUGUAGGCUAGUGGAAAACCAUGCUAUAGUGUUAUCUGUGACUGAAUGUAGGCUAGUGUAAAACCAUGCUAUAGUGUUAUCUGUGACUGAAUGUAGGCUAGUGGAAAACCAUGCUAUAGUGUUAUCUGUGACUGAAUGUAGGCUAGUGGAAAACCAUGCUAUAGUGUUAUCUGUGACUGAAUGUAGGCUAGUGGAAAACCAUGCUAUAGUGUUAUCUGUGACUGAAUGUAGGCUAGUGUAAAACCAUGCUAUAGUGUUAUCUGUGACUGAAUGUAGGCUAGUGGAAAACCAUGCUAUAGUGUUAUCUGUGACUGAAUGUAGGCUAGUGGAAAACCAUGCUAUAGUGUUAUCUGUGACUGAAUGAAGGCUAGUGGAAAACCAUGAUAAGGACAUGAGUAUUUCCAGGGAGAAAGGCCAAGGACAGGAGUGUCUUCCUAAAAAAAGGUACAGGAGGGCACAACAAUGUAACAUUUAAGAUCACAUCAGUAUCAUCACAACCGAAUGAACGAACCCUUCGAUAAAAAGGCUGAUUAUUUCAUAAAAUAGGUCGACGAAAGUUUAAAAGAAACAUGUAACUGCCAGUCUCUUGUAUAGAGUACAACUGGGUAUAUGUGGUUAGUGUUCCGCAUGAAUUCUAGAUUCUAAUUCUAUGGUUCUGGAUCCCUGGGUUGAGAAUGUCAACCUGUACCAUGUGGUAGUUUGUACCAGGAAGUAUACUGCACGUGGAACACAAGCAAUAGAAGGUGACAAGACAGCAUGUAGGCCAAUCGGCUAGAACUGUAGGUUAAACAUCAAUACGUACCCUGGUUAAAACAUUCAACGGUUGGUCAAAAGUAGUGCACUAUAUAGGGAAUAGGGUGCUAUUUGGGAGACAACCUCCAAGGCACAUUCACUGCCUGCCUGUCAGAGGCUGAUAUCAUACUGGUGGAAAGUACAGUGCAUAGAUACAAUGUAGGGUUGGAGAACUACAGUAACUUUCUAAAACUUGACAGAUUUUUCCAGAAAUUCCAGUAGAAGAUUCCUGGGUUUUCUGCUUAUUCCCUCCCGAUUCCAGGAAUCUUACAACAGGAAUUUCUGGAAAACUGGGGAAUUUUCAGGAAGUUACAACCCUAAUACAAUGUCAUCAUCAUGAUCAUCAUAACAAAUAGGAUAUCACAUCAACAUCCUGAACAUACAUGUAUAAUGGCACUACUAGGCUUUAUCUUAAUACAUGGACUGUCUAGCCUGGUCCCAGAUCUGUUUGUGCGGUCUUGCCAACAUCUUUGGUCAUUGUCGUGCCUUGGCAUGCCAGAUCUGGGAUCAGGCUAGAGGUUAACAUUGGGAUAGCUGCAACACACAAAUGGACCAGCAGUAGAGAGAGAAGAGGAAGGGUCCCUCAUAGGACAUACAGCAACAACUCCUCCUCCAUACACUGACUGCUGCUGCAGAGAGAGACAGACAGAGGGGGUGGGGGGAGAGACACAGACAGAGGGGGUGGGGAGAGAGAGAGAAACAGACA